UGGGGGCAACCCUGAUCCAGCAAUGCCGCGUGAGUGAAGAAGGCCUUCGGGUUGUAAAGCUCUUUUGUCAGGGAAGAAACAGCAGCUCUAACACAGUCUGCGAAUGACGGUACCUGAAGAAUAAGCACCGGCUAACUACGUGCCAGCAGCCGCGGUAAUACGUAGGGUGCGAGCGUUAAUCGGAAUUACUGGGCGUAAAGCGUGCGCAGGCGGUUAUACAAGACAGGCGUGAAAUCCCCGGGCUUAACCUGGGAAUGGCGCCUGUGACUGUAUAGCUAGAGUGUGUCAGAGGGGGGUAGAAUUCCACGUGUAGCAGUGAAAUGCGUAGAUAUGUGGAGGAAUACCAAUGGCGAAGGCAGCCCCCUGGGAUAACACUGACGCUCAUGCACGAAAGCGUGGGGAGCAAACAGGAUUAGAUACCCUGGUAGUCCACGCCCUAAACGAUGCUGACUAGUUGUUGGGAAUUUACAUUCUCAGUAACGUAGCUAACGCGUGAAGUCAGCCGCCUGGGGAGUACGGUCGCAAGAUUA
rnacentral:rRNA from 1 species